AAAGAUUGACAGACAAUCGCCGGCGGCUCAUGGCCGCGGGAGGAAAGUCCGGGCUCCAUAGGGCAGAAUGCUGGAUAACGUCCAGUCGGCGCGAGCCGAAGGAUAGUGCCACAGAAAUGGACCGCCGAUGGCCGCGCAAGCGGAUCAGGCAAGGAUGGAACCGUGGUGUAAGAGACCACGAGGAACACGGGUGACUUUGUUCCUGGUAAACCCCAUUUGGAGCAAGACCUAGGAGAACGCAGCGGAGUUCGCUCUGCAGCCCCGGCCCGGGGCGCGUUCGGGUUGGUCGCUUGAGCCGGGCAGCAAUGUCCGGCCUAGAAAGAUGAUUGUCGCUUCAGCAAGUGGGAGGGCUGCCUUGAGCGGUCCGCGAUACCACGUGAAGUACAGAACCCGGCUUACGGCAAUCUUUCCGG
rnacentral:RNase_P_RNA from 1 species